CCGGCGACCGGCGCACGGGUGAGUAACACGUAUGAAACCUGCCCGUAGCAGGGGGAUAAGCGGAAGAAAUUCCGUCUAAUACCGCGUAACAACCCAUGGAGGCAUCUCUGUGGGUUUAAAGGAAGCGAUUCCGGCUACGGAUGGUCAUGCGUCGCAUUAGCUUGUUGGCGGGGUAACGGCCCACCAAGGCGACGAUGCGUAGGGGUUCUGAGAGGAAGGUCCCCCACACUGGUACUGAGCACGGACCAGACUCCUACGGAAGGCAGCAG
rnacentral:rRNA from 1 species